UGGUGUGGCUUGGAGGGCAGCUGGAGAGGACAGCGGCCUGUGGCGUGGCUGGAGGUAUAACGUCAACCUUUUGGACUCCAGCCAACGGGAUGAGCACCAGUUCCAACAGGUUGACUCACCUAGGAGUCAGCUGUGGCCACGGUCUCCUGGGGCCCACCAUGCUCGCUGGAAUCCUCAGUCUUCCCACUUCAUCUUCGGACCUGCAAAGCCUUUUCUCACGGAUAAACUAACACAGAGCGUCCUUCAAUUAAUUCUAGACACAGCUAACACACAACUUCUCAGGAGGAUGCUGGAAAGAUGCAAAGAUAGUCGGUUUCCCCCAAGGGUUUAACCUCCACCUUCCUAUGAAACAGAGUUGGACACACACACACACUUCUGCAAACAUGAUUAUAACAGCUAUAUAGCUAGGUAAUAUGAGAUAACUUAUAUACAUUUUUCCAACAGCAUCCUAUUAAACGCAGAAGAGUUUUUUCUCACCUGAAAACUUUCAAAUCAUGUAUCAUCUUUCUGCGGGAAACUCAUUUACACCUAAACGAAUAUUCAAAAUUGAAAACAAGGCUGGAUAGGACAAACCUAUCAUUUUAAAUCUGAAAAUCGCACUAGAGGUACAGCCAUACUAAUCAGAAAAGGUGUGCCAUUAACACAGACAAAAACUGUAUCUGACACCAAAGGUAGAUAUGUCAUAGUUGAGGGGACAUAUGUUCUGGAACUGUAUCUCAAUGAGGAGUUUCUGGACAAAUAUUUUUGAGGUCCUCUCACUGAUUUGUGGGACAAAGGUUCGCCCUCCCCACUCACUGCUGUUUUUGGGGUUUUGCCCACUGAGGUCAAUGCCUCUAAAUUCAAAGGGAAGGCAGUUGCCUUUGCAACAAUAAUAGCUGUAGGACUAUCCACCACCAGUGGAAAUCAGAUAAACCUCCUUUCAUUUAAUGGCUGGAUUAGAGAAAUGCUCUCUGUAUGGCAACUGGAAAAACUGAGAUACAGCAGGGAGAACAGCUGUGAAAAGUUUCUGGAAAUUUGGACACCCUUUACAUAUUAUGUUAAAAAUGUGAGUCUAAAAUGAAGCCUCUUUGCAUGUUUUAGCCUAAUAACCUAAAUAUGAAGAUGUAGAUGUAUGCCUACAUAAGUGUGUGUAUCUGUAUGUGUCUAUAAGUGUUUGAAUAUGUGUUUGAAUAUGCAUGUGUACUUGUGUUUUUACAGAUAGGAGAAUUAGAGAAAAACAUUUGAAAAUUUCUGUCAUGGAUGUACACUUUUCUUUCCCUUUUUCCUUUUUUUCAUUCUUA